UCUUAACAUGGAUCGUUUCGCUGGAGUUGAGAACAUGAUUUUUCCCCCCUGUCACCUUAUUAAAAUCCAAAAUUAAAAAAAAUCUCUAAAUCCUGGAAGUAUGAUCGGUCCCGUAGACCAGAGCCACGGCUGAUCGCCCAGCCCCACUCGCUGUGACACCCCCACUUGCGUUCCUCUGGCAGCCUCACCUCCCUCACGAAACCUCGCCGCUUAAGACAGAGCCAGCCAACAGCAGCAUUUUGUGACCCAUUCUGUUCUCCAGUCUUGUUAUAUGGAUUUCUGUCUCUCUGAGUAGUUCCUAAGCAUCCCCUUGGAUGACAUCUACCACACAGUGCCCUGUGUUCUUGCUGGGAAAAUAAGGCCACGCACCCCUUCUUCUCCUGGACUUGCCCAGCGAUGCUUUCAGGGACCAUCUCUGAGCAGCGGCUGCAGCAUGACACGGACAAAGAGCAGCUAUAGGGUGGCAUUGGUAGCCCCCUAGCAGCAGUGCUGUGAGCACGGCAUGGGUUACCCAUUCAAAUACAGCCUCUCAGUAUUCAAGCAAAUCUGGAGUACAAGAAGAGAGAAAGAAGAAGGGAAGGAGAGAAAGAGGGAAAGAGGAAGGCUUUUCCAAAGACAUAAUAACUUUUUCAACCCACAAGGCUGAAUCAUUUCCCCUAACCGAAAUGGCUCCAGCACAGCUAUCCCCCAGAAGACAUCCUCCCUCAUUUCUUACAGGCCCUAUAAGAUAGUUGAAGUUGCAGAGAUGAUCCAGAUAUCCAUCGUAUACCACUAGAAUAAGCUGGCAUUUUUCACAGAGAUGAAUGGAAGAUCUCCAGGACACUUCUCCCAUCUGAGAAAUCUGAAGUAGAAAGAUCAAUAGGGGCAUCAUAAACUACACCUGUCCCUGAGAGCCCUGGGGAACAUUGCCCUGUUUUGGGGUUCAGCUUGCAAUUCAGACAGGGCUGUGGGGCAAACGAGGCUGUAAGGAACAAGACUGCUGCCUCCAUGAUUCCUGUGCAGGGACCCAGGAAUGAGGAUUCGCCCAGAUCUAGGAAGAGUCGUGAAGAGCCAUAGGUUUGACAAGCUUCCUGCUCUGUUCAGGGUCCUCUGAAGGCCAAGUGUAGGGGACAAUACCUGUCCUCAAACUGGUUAUUCCUCAGUAGGUCAGACAGCCCCUCACCUCCCGUAUGCAAUGUUCAGUGCUGCUCUGUAUUUGCUCCAAGAAUAAUGGGGCUUCAUCCUGAACAUGCCUUAAUCAUCGCUGGUGUUGGUCAACCCAGUAAGUUGUCUUGACUUUGGGCAGAGGCCAAUACCAGCUGAUGUCAAAGGAAACCAUCACUCCUGACUGUAGAACAGUGCAGCAUGGAGGAUGAGGCCAUCCUGACCCCAUUUAAUGACUAGCACAUGUCAAGAACUAUUGGAAUGAUUACAAUUAUUACAUAAUUCCAGCUGAUAAAACUCUCUCAGAUUUUUUUCUAAGGCUAGGAGCAACCAUCAUCAUCAUCUAAUCUGAUCUUCUGCAUAAUAUAUGCCACUGAACUUCACUCAAUCUGAACUUUUUGUGACAAUUUGCUUUAAUGCCUGAAAAUGCCUCAUCAUUUACAAAUAUGCUGUUUAUCUCAGUGCUAUCUUUGUAACACCAAGUCCCAUUAAUAAACUGUACAUUGUAUGGAAAAGUAAUACCUCUUAACCAUUUGAAAUUUGAUACCUCUUUGUUUCACCUUGCAGGAUAGGAAAGGGGCCUUUUUCCUUUGCUGCUAAUUAGGUUUAAAGAUCAUGAGGAUGGAAUGUUAUUUAUAUUACAGUCAUGCUUAAGUAGAGCUCUGACAAAGCCUGGGGGACUCCACUGCUUGAACCAAGGGAGACAAUGCAAGUCCUUCGGGGCUGAGACUGUUUGAAUAGACAGAUGACACAUUUUCAAAAGAGCUGAGUGAUCUAACUGGAAAGAAUGUCAGAUAAGUCAGGGGAUUCAUACCCUGCAUGAAUCACCUAUGCAUUUCUGAAAUAUUAAUCUGAAGACUGAGGGAAGGAAAGGUACUGAAAAAAUAAGUUACUACGACUGGGACCAGAAAAUGAGUUUGGGAUAUAGUUUGUGAAAGAAAACAGGUACGUUCAUUUGUAGCUCUGGGUCCUGCGCACUGUCCAUAGGCCAUUUUGGCUUCCAGUGCCUGAGUGUCUCAUGGUCUGAAAGUCCUCUAAGGUAGGAGGAACCAAAGAAAGCAUCUGCAACUUCUGCUUCAUGCAAUGGCCCAAAGGCUUUCAGCAGAAUCACAAGGACUGCUAGGGGGCAAGUGGAUCUUCUAGAUUAGCUGAAGCAAAAGAGGUUGUUCCAAGGUUAUGGAAAGGGUUCAGGUAUGAUUUGCGAUCCAAUGAGGGUGAAUCUCGCCUGAGAGAGAGACUGGUGCUUGUGUUCUUUAUCUCUUCUCAAGAAAUUCCCCAUCCUUUUGACUUUUAUCAUUUUUAUUGCCAUUCUCUAGACCUGUUCUAUAUCUACUUUCUUUUUUUCAGAGAUGAGGUGACCAAAUUUGAAGACAGUAUUCAAAGUGAGGAUGUGCCACUGAUUUAUAUAAUGGCAUUAUAAUAUUUUCCAUAUUAUUCUCUAAAAUUCUUUUCUUCGUACAAACCCCAUAAGAUUCUUUUUAAUUCUUUGAACUACAGUGCCUUUUAACAUCUGUAGUUUACUCUGAUCAGAUUUUGACAAAGGAAUAAAAGACUCCAUUUUUCACAUAGAAUUUUAUUUAUUGUCUGAACUUUAGAGGAGAAAUUGGUUAACUUGCAAUUUAAAAUUCUUGGCAAUGUAGACCAUUGGGCAAGGAUUUCAUUAUCAGCCCUUCUAUAUUUUCGUUAAAAAAGCAUGAGGCUGCAAGUUGGUGUACAAGAUCUUGCCUCAAAAGUUUGACUUUCGUACCUUGUUGUAUUAUAAACACAGCUAAAUACUGAGUUUGGAGCUGCCAUCAUCCCUAAAGAUGUCAAAAAUGCCAUUCUUCUGUACCCCUUCUGUGAUGAAACAUGCUGGAGCGAUGCAUUUUCAUGCUGUUCUCCCAAUGUCACGCAUGUGUGCAAGUGGCACAUGAGUCCUGCGCUCUGAGGUCUUCUGUUCACUGUACCAUAUACCCUCACUAGGUCAAGGGAAGACCUUUUUGAAAAUGUGGCUCUUGAUCUUGCUCUCAUGUCACAGCUGGGCAUUACGUCUUCAUCAGGGUAUUAGAAAAGGCUCAAGGAAAAAAGUUACAUCUAUUCUAUUGCCAAAGAUGCUUUCUGCAGCUUCUGGCUUUCCUUAGAGUUACCAAUCCAAGUGCUGGCCCUGCCUGACUCUACUUAUUUUGUGACAGCAGAUAAGACCACAGCCUGAAGGGGUAUAGCCACAGGCUCAGUGAUAGCUACCAAAAUGUCUAUUUAGUAUUUUCAAGAAAUACUGCCCUAAAGAUUUACAAUACCAGCUGCUAGAUACGUGGACAGCACCAGAGCGCAGCCCUGGCCCCUGAACGUUUCGCCCCACUUACGCAGAAGUUAAUGCCUCUCAGGAGGCCAAGUAACGCUGAGUUGCCACAAAAUGGUUAUUCUCUACCUGCAAGUGAGCUGGAAUUGAAGCAUCAUAUGGUUGUGUACACUCAAGUACUGGAUAAAAAUAACAUUCAAAAACUACAGAUUUGAGUUCAGGGUUCAUUGUUAGCUCCUUUCAUCAGUUGCAUUACUGCUCUAGCAGUAAAAAGAGCUCUGCUAUUUCUAUGCAAUAUCUUUUUUGGUUUAUUACAGAAAAUUGUCUUCCAUGACCAAAGCAGUUUUUCAUAAGAAGCUAUUUUUAGAUGAACUGCUAGUUUCUUUCUUAGCAAACAUUUUAGCUCAGCUAUAUGAAAGCAAAUGCAUGUUUUCCUGAAUAUCUCUAAGGAUAAACACAGGUUUAAAUAGUCAGGCAAUGCUAAGAGGCUGAUCUGGUUUAAUUGUUUUAUAAUAUACAUUCAUAGUUCUUGCUGAAUGGUUUUUUUUUUCUUUUUAGAACAGCAAAGAUAUGGACAAAGACACUGAGGUCUUAUUGCUCCUGUUGCAAACUUCUGCUGACUACAGCAUGAGUUGGAUUGGGCCCAGAAAAACCAAAUACACACGUGUAACAAUGAGUUGGCCAUACAAGCAAGGAAAAUCAGAGAUAACAGAUGCACACAAAUUAGCAAUGUACCUUUUAGGUCAUUCAGUACAGCUCCCUGACGCUGUGAGAUUAUUUCCUACGGCAUAUUUUUGGCUGUUUUUUGUGUCUAGAUUAAAUGUCCUAAGUGAUGCCAUGUCCCUAGGGAGGGAUUUUGCUGCCUAAAGGAUCUCGUUGUCAGAAGUUUUUUUUCCUUUCUUAACAUCACCAUGUUUCACCUAGUUAUAUCCCUUUGCAAACCUCCUUUACAAUUCUUUUCCUUCCUUGGUGUUGUUUCCCUUCAGUAUCUUUAUGCUACUGUGAUGUUUCCUUUAGUUAUCAUUAAACCAACCUAUACAUGUUUAGCUCAUUUAAUCUUUUCUGAUAAAUCAGCUCUUUUGGUCUCCUGGUUAUCCUUCCUCUUCUCUUGUCACACUGCUGCCUGUCAGCAUCUUUUUUUGGUUAUGAGAUUUCAAAGAUGUGAUGCUUUCCUCUGAACUAAUGACAGAUCUGGCAGAGACAUGAGCACCUUCAAUUUCUUCUUACUAAUAAACACUCCUGAUGCACCCAUGGGAAAGCCAUCAGCAUUCUGGAUAGAUGCACAAGUGGAGUAUCCUGUUCAAACCACUUCCUUGGUAUUACUUACUCUGUUGGUCAACGGUAGCCUUUUAAAACAGUUAACACAAAUGGUUUAAAAAUAAAUGCCUAUCAUUAUGAAUUUCUUUUCACAAUAUUAGGAGAUAGAAUAGCACAGAUUAAAAAGAUUUUUUGCUGUUGUUUAGAUUUUCUAACUCUUGAUCAUGGGCAUCACUGUCUAAUAUUAUUAAAGACAUUGACUUGUCUAGCAACUGUAUCUAAAUGCUAGUAGAGUACAUUGUAGAAAAUAAUUAUGUACAUAUCACAAGCCUAGCUGUUCACUUCAGGCAAUAAAUUCUGAUCAACAAACAACACUUCCUUAGUGCUAAAUGAGAUCUUGGUUGUAAUUGAAUGUCUUUACCUUUGUGUUCUGUUGGGUUGGAGGAAUAUCAUUUUAAUCUGCUCUCUUUAAAUUUUCAUUAAGGAACAUUUCAGCUACCUGCAGCCUCAUCUGAUGAUGUUUAAUGAUAUCAGCUAGCUUGUUCUUCUGUGCACCAGCAGGGGCUUCUUUAAAUUGGUCAACUGUACAGAACAUUGUUUUUGAGUUUAAUGUACUCAGAAUCAACCUUUUAAAAUAAUGACAUCUCUUAAAACGGUUUAUAUAAUAGUACACACAUACAUGAGCAUAUGAGCAUGUAUUUAUGUGUGCUUGUCUGUAUAUGUAUAUGUGUGUGUAUGUAUAUAUACGUACAUACAUACACACACACACAUAUAUGCAUGAGUGUAUGCAUACAUACAGAAAUAAAGGGCCAAUCUACCUCUUUAA